AUAAAAAAAACCCCACAGACCUAUUCUACUAUAAAAUAAAUAAACAAAAUGUUGCAAAUAAAACAAGUAAAAAUAAAAACCAUCAAAAAUAAAUAAAUAUUGAAAAUAAUGAAAUAAAUAAUGGUGAACAUUACAGACAGGUGAGUGUGGGGCAGACAGGUGAACAUUACAGACAGGUGAGUGUGGGGCAGACAGGUGAACAUUACAGACAGGUGAGUGUGGGGCAAUCAGGUGAGUGUGGGGCAGACAGGUGAACAUUACAGACAGGUGAGUGUGGGGCAGACAGGUGAACAUUACAGACAGGUGAGUGUGGGGCAGACAGGUGAACAUUACAGACAGGUGAGUGUGGGGCAGACAGGUGAACAUUACAGACAGGUGAGUGUGGGGCAGACAGGUGAACAUUACAGACAGGUGAGUGCGGGACAGACAGGUGAACAUUACAGACAGGUGAGUGUGGGGCAGACAGGUGAACAUUACAGACAGGUGAGUGCGGGACAGACAGGUGAACAUUACAGACAGGUGAGUGUGGGACAGACAGGUGAACAUUACAGACAGGUGAGUGUGGGACAGACAGGUGAACAUUACAGACAGGUGAACAUUACAGACAGGUGAGUGUGGGGCAGACAGGUGAACAUUACAGACAGGUGAGUGUGGGGCAGACAGGUGAACAUUACAGACAGGUUAGUGUAGGACAAACAGGUGAGCGCGAGAGCGGGUGCAGACAGGUGAGCGUGGGGUGCAGACAGGUGAGCGCGAGAGCGGGGUGCAGACAGGUGAGCGAGAGCGGGUGCAGACAGGUGAGCGCGGGGUGCAGACAGGUGAGCAUGGUGCA